CUGAUCACCCGGGGGAGUGAAGUCCUCUGUCGAUCCACAGAGCAGGUACAGCAUGAGCGGGGAUAGUGCAACCUCCCCCCUACCCUGACCCGAGCAUGCCUCACUCCUGACCUGGAGGGAUGGGAAGGGAAUUCAGUCCCCACGUCCACUCAACUCUUGGCUUCU
rnacentral:sRNA from 1 species